GUCCACGCCGUAAACGAUGUCGACUAGCCGUUGGGAUCCUUGAGAUCUUAGUGGCGCAGCUAACGCAUUAAGUCGACCGCCUGGGGAGUACGGCCGCAAGGUUAAAACUCAAAUGAAUUGACGGGGGCCCCGCACAAGCGGUGGAGCAUGUGGUUUAAUUCGAAGCAACGCGAAGAACCUUACCUGGCCUUGACAUGCUGAGAACUUUCUAGAGAUAGAUUGGUGCCUUCGGGAACUCAGACACAGGUGCUGCAUGGCUGUCGU
rnacentral:rRNA from 1 species